rnacentral:rRNA from 1 species
UGGGGAAUAUUGGACAAUGGGGGCAACCCUGAUCCAGCAAUGCCGCGUGUGUGAAGACGGCUUUCGGGUUGUAAAGCUCUUUCAGCGGGGAAGAUAAUGACGGUACCCGCAGAAGAAGCCCCGGCUAACUUCGUGCCAGCAGCCGCGGUAAUACGAAGGGGGCUAGCGUUGUUCGGAAUUACUGGGCGUAAAGCGCGCGUAGGCGGAUUGUUAAGUCAGGGGUGAAAUCCCGAGGCUCAACCUCGGAACUGCCUCUGAUACUGGCAAUCUCGAGUCCGGAAGAGGUUGGUGGAAUUCCGAGUGUAGAGGUGAAAUUCGUAGAUAUUCGGAGGAACACCAGAGGCGAAGGCGGCCAACUGGUCCGAGACUGACGCUGAGGCGCGAAAGCGUGGGGAGCAAACAGGAUUAGAUACCCCUGUAGUCC